rnacentral:misc_RNA from 1 species
UCCUGGUUAACCCAGGCAGUCUCGUUAGAGUUCCCACCAUUACGUGUUGGCAACUAACAAUAAGGGUUGCGCUCGUUGCUGGACUUAACCAAACACCUCACGGCACGAGCUGACGACAGCCAUGCAGCACCUAUAUAGAGACCCUUUCGGGAAACCACAUCUCUGUGGUCGUCCUCUACAUUUCGAGCCCAGGUAAGGUUCUUCGCGUUGCAUCGAAUUAAACCACAUGCUCCACUGCUUGUGCGGGCCCCCGUCAAUUCUUUUGAGUUUCACCCUUGCGAGCGUACUCCCCAGGCGGCAUACUUAACGCGUUAGCUCCGAUACAGAUGGGGUUGAGCCCACCUACAUCCAGUAUGCAUCGUUUAAGGCUAGGACUAC